rnacentral:rRNA from 1 species
GGACUACACGGGUAUCUAAUCCCGUUUGCUCCCCAUGCUUUCGUACCUCAGCGUCAGUAUUAAUCCAGAAAGUAGUUUUCACCAAUGGUUAUCUCUUUAAUAUCGUCAAAUUUCACUUUUACUUUAAAAAUAUAACUUUCCUUUAUUAACCUCAAGUAAAGCAGUAUAAUUAUUAAUUUCUAAGUUAUGCCUAGAUUAUUUAAUAAAAACUUACUAAACCGCCUACAUACCCUUUACGCCCAGUUAUGACGAAUAACGUUAGUUCCCCCCGUGUUACCGCGGCUGCUGGCAC